ensembl:snRNA LOC120102605 U6 spliceosomal RNA
UUGCUUUGGCAGUACAUAUCCUAAAAUCAGAAUACUACAGAGAAGAUUAGCACGGCCCUUUGCAAGUAUUACAUGCAAAUUCAUGAAGUAUGUAAAAUAAAA